UACGGGGGGGGCAAGCGUUGUUCGGAAUUACUGGGCGUAAAGGGCUCGUAGGUGGCCAACUCAGUCGGACGUGAAAUCCCUCGGCUUAACCGGGGAACUGCGUCCGAUACUGGAUGGCUUGAGAUCGGGAGAGGGAUGCGGAAUUCCAGGUGUAGCGGUGAAAUGCGUAGAUAUCUGGAGGAACACCGGUGGCGAAGGCGGCAUCCUGGACCAUUACUGACGCUGAGGCGCGAAAGCUAGGGGAGCAAACGGG
rnacentral:rRNA from 1 species